GCCAAUUCUUUACCAAAUACCUUUUUAUAAAUACACAAGUCUAUACAUAAAGAUUUACAAAAGGGAUCGGCUCCCAACAAAAGAGAAUUGUCCUACGACUAGUUAGUCGGACAAGAUCGCCGAUCCUUUAGGCUUCACCUCCUAAACUCCAGGGCUUCUGGUCCUUCACCAACACCAUCUAAGGAGCUGAAAAUUGUUAUACAAUAACUAGUGAGACAAUAUCUUAGCAAAUUCAACCCUCUAAGACUUAAUUAGGAAGAAAAUACGCACUAAGGGUUGCCCAAGCACAAUCACUAGUCAGAGGUCUUAUCUUUGCCUCUGUUCCUUCCUGCAAGUCAGAGCCAUUUAAUAAUUCAUCGAGUCAUAUCAACAAAUCAAAUCACUCAAUUGGAUCGAAUCAUCGAUCAAUCGACUCAGUCGAUUACAUGUUAAUCAGACCAUUCCCCGGUCAUUCCAAUCUAUACUAUCUAUUCUCCAAGAUGACAUAUCAAGUCACCGAGCCAACGUUCAUUCUCCAAUGUGACAUAUCGAGUUACCGAGCCAAUGUUCAUUCUCCAAGAUGACAUACCAAGUCACCGAGCUGAUAUAAUAUAAUGUCUUUCUCCGAGAUAACAUACUUAGUCAUCGAGCCGACAUAAUAUAAUGUCUUUCUCGAGAUGACAUGCUUAGUCACCGAGCUGACAUAAUAUAAUGUCUUUCUUCGAGAUGACAUACUGAGUCAUCGAGCCAACGUAAUAUAAUAUAACGUCUUUCUUCGAGAUAACAUACUUAGGCCUUGUUUGAUUCAACUUUGGGGAAAUGCAAAGCCAUUUCUCCAAGUAUCUUUAGAAGAAUGAGCAUUUGGCGAAUGCUGAAGUGUUUGGGUACUCCUAUUUUGGUGUAUUUUGCAAAAUAGCUUUGAGGUGAAAAGAAAAAGAAAAGGAAAAAGGAGGAGGAGAAGUUGAAGCAGAGGGGAACGAUUGGGAGGCGAUCGGAAUUGGUGGGGGAGGCGGCGGGUCGUGCGACCCAGGUGACGCCGCCUGAGGCUAUGACCCAUGCGAUGAUGGUGCGUGGCGACGGCGGUGCUGGCGACCAGAUUUGGCCGGCUGAGCACUGCUCAGCCCGUUGCGUGGGUCACACGACCUAGGUGAUGCCGCAACCCACGCGACGGUGGUGUGUGGCGACGGCGGUGCGUGGGCGACUAGCUCUGCCGACUAAGCUUCGCCGACUGAGUUUCACUUUCGAAGAAACAAGUCCAACGAGGAAGACGAUGAACAGUAGUUUUUGAGGGUAAAAUAGGAAAAUGCAAUUAUCAAUGAGGGCAAUAUUGGAAGAAAAAAAAUUCAUUAAACCCCUCUUCAGCAUUUCAAAAAUGCUAAAUGCCCAAAACAGGUCCCCACCUGCUUUGGGCUUUCAGCAUUCCAAAUGCUAGCAUUUGGCCAAGGAUACUUCGGAAUGCUUAACCAAACGGGUAAAAUUUUUCCCAAGGGGCUUUCGGGGCUGAAAGCCCCUUGGGAAUGCUAAACCAAACAAGGCCUUAGUCAUCGAGCCGACGUAAUAUAACAUCUUUCUCCGAGAUGACCGACGUUCUUAUCGUCCAAUGGUUUUUCACUUUUUAUCGUACAUGGUAAAAAUAGCCGUGUAUGGGUACAUGGUUAGCCUUAGCCAAAAUAUCAUAAUUUUAUUUCCAUAAUUCCCACCAUUUCAUAAGAUCCACCAAAAUAUUUUUGGCGUUGCAAACCAAUGCUCGGUUAUUUUCUAAUUAAAUACUAAAAAUAAAUAAAUUUAGGAAUAUAUCCUAAAAUCACAAUUCACACCAAUUUAGUACAAAUUCGAGCUCAAUUAAAUAAGCAUAUCACACCAUCACAAUCAACAUAAAAUUCCAGUCGCUGGCUAUCUCGAUCUAAUUUUUGGAAAAUAAAUAAAUAAAUAAAUAAAUAAUUACGAAAAAAUAUUAAAUAAAUGCAAUAAAUGCACCUUAGGCCCAGUAAAGCCUAAUUGGAAGCUGAGAUGAACCUGCAAAAUUUCCGAACUACUCUAGUUAUAUACUAAAGUUUGUCUAGGCUCUAAUUGUGCUAACUAUCCACCUAACAUGCAUCGGUACAUAAUUAAAUUCAUUAAUUUAAUCUAACUAUCCACCUAAACCAUGCUCUUAAUCUAAUCAGUCCUUAAAUGUAAUUAACCUACUAAGUGAGGAUUAGUGAGUUAAACUUAUCUAAUUAAUGAUCCGCUCGGAUCAAAAUAAUCGGGACGCGAUGAGGAACAAAAAGCUCCAAAGCGGUGGCACCAACGGGGCACGGAUCGAGCCCGGAAAUUGGCUCACAAAGCCUCACGGCGCUGUUGGUUUUCCACGGCUAAUGGCUGCUUUACGUGGCUGAUUUGGUGGGGAAGAAAUGGCUGGCUUGCGGCUUCAAGCGAGCUCUUGAGCGAAGACGCGGAGCUGGACGAAGAUCGAGCGGUUUAAUGGACUCGAAUUUGUGUGGAUUGCUUCGAUUUAUUGCGAGACGACAACACAGCUCGGAGGAAAUGGGGGCGACAACGCGAGAGAGAGAGAGAGAGAGAGAGAGAGAGAGAGAGAGAGACUGAACAG
rnacentral:lncRNA from 1 species